GGCGGAGGGAGACCAAGUGGUGAUCCUACAGGGAGAGAUACGAAGCGAAUCCUGCAUCCCACUUCUCCGCCGCAUUCUUCAAAAACGACGUGUUCACCGGCUCCGAGCCUGCGGGGAGAGAUGAUCCUCCCAGCGGUGUCCAAAACUGACGAAGGCUUCUACAAGUGUGAACACCCAACGAAGGGAGAGUCCCCGCAGAGCUGGCUGGCUGUGAGAGCUCAGCCUGCAGAUGCUCCUCCUCCUCCUCCUCCUCCUCCUCUUCUGAUGAUACAUCUGCUCCGUCCUGCUCUUCCUCUUCUACACAGCCAUCCUCAUACUGUGUAUCUACAAGUACCGCAGGUGGGCUCGAGCUCAAGCCGACAGAAAGAGGAGGGUUUCUGAUCGUCUCACGCUGGAAUAAUGACUUCUUUUUCCUGCUCAGAAACGGAGGAAACAGAAGAAAAAAAAGAUGAAGUGCAACAAUUUAUCACUGAGAUUAUACAGCCUCUUUAUAAGAUGGCCUAUAGGCUAAAGUUUGUAUUAAUUAUCCUUUUUAUAUAAUUGUUAUUUCAUUUUUUAUUAGCUGAUGUAAUGUGAUGUUUCGUGUGUCAUAUAUGUCUACAUGUUUAUUUAUAAUAAUAAUUAGUCUGCAUGCAUUGAAUUAUUCUGCUGCAUCUUGUAAAGCCAUAUAUGUUUAACCAGGCAAACAUUCUUUUCAAACUGUUGAUAAGCUUGACGUUCUGAAUGUUAUUUUGUGUUUUCUUAAAUCAUCUUUUAAUGAAGAGUGUCUGUUGUACAUGGCUGAUCCCCACCACUGUGGCCAUUUUUACUGAGAGACUGGUCAGAGAAUCUGGUACAACCCAACGUGUCGGGUCAAAGUUCAUGGUCUAAGUCUAAGAUCGGGGGAGUGCCCUGGGUGGGUCGUUGUGAUCCACUGGAGCAUCUGGGUCGUUGUCAGCCACUGGAGCAUCUGGGUCGUUGUGAUCCACUGGAGCAUCUGGGUCGUUGUGAUCCACUGGAGCAUCUGGGUUGUUGUCAGCCACUGGAGCAUCUGGAUUGUUGUCAGCCACCGAAGCAUCUGGAUUGUUGUCAGCCACCGGAGCAUCUGGGUCGUUGUGAUCCACUGGAGCAUCUGGGUUGUUGUCAGCCACCGGAGCAUCUGGGUUGUUGUCAGCCACCGGAGCAUCUGGGUUGUUGUCAGCCACCGGAGCAUCUGGGUUGUUGUCAGCCACCGGAGCAUCUGGGUCGUUGUCAGUCACCGGAGCAUCUGGGUCGUUGUCAGCCACUGGCAUGGCAGAAUGGCGUCAUGUCCGGCUAUGACUUUCACUGAUUGAUGGGAGCCAAUCCCAACAGGCAGUCCUGUGGAGAAACAAACAUUGCAAUUAGACUUUCUUUUUCCAUCAUUUAUCUUAUUUUGAAAAGUAUUAUAUUAGUACACAGUACCCAAGUUUCCAUCUAAAUGUAUUGCAAAUAGUAUCCAGGAAAUCAGGAAAAGAAAAUGUGAAGAAUUUCUAUCCACUAAUGUUACGCAGGGACUUGGGCGCAUCAAAAUCAAGGAAUUGAAUAUCGCAUUCGAAAAUGACGCCCAUAAACUAAAAUACGUACGAAUUUUCCGCACGUUCAAAAAUAAAUACAACUUCACGUUGUGUUAAUCAUGUUUACACACUGCCCCUGAAACUUUCGUCAGUCAUAAAAAAAAAUCAUAUAGGGUUAAAUUCGCGGAAAUUUGUCUUUUUUUUAAUAUGUGGCUCCAGUAUCGACAUCCUGAAGUAAACUCUGACUUGUCACAAAUGACUUUGUCACCUGAAAAUCAUUUUUUGAUCGUUAUAUCCACACUGUUGCUCGCAGACCGACAUGCACACUUCUCCUUAGAGCUCCAAAACGAAAUUGGGGUGUACGUAACCCUAUUUCUGAUUGCUUGAACUGAUAUAACUGUAACAAGACUUCGGUAAAGUUAGAAAGAUAUUCACAGAUUCAAACUUCCGUGAUCAAUUACUCUAUAGCGAAAUGUUACUAAAUCACAUACGACGCACAUUUCCUACCGUAGUAAGGUUAACAACGAGCUACAGACUCAUUUUCAUCAAAACGAGCCGUCCUCCAAUAACAUUUUGGAGACAUGACUCUCUGCAAUUAUGACAUAUUAUUAUUUUUUUGGCAAAAAAAAAUCCCCCAAAUUAUGAUUAUGCUUAUUUUGGAAGAAAAAAAAUUAAUAAAUGUAUCAUAUAUUUAAUAAAUAUUUUUGUUGCAUCUCUUUUCGGUGUUGUAGUUUGUAGACGGUCCCUAAGGUGUUGUAGUUUGUAGACGGUCCCUAAGGUGUUGUAGUUUGUAGACGGUCCCUAAGGUGUUGUAGUUUGUAGACGGUCCCUAUAAGCGCUCGUCUUACUGCAGUCUCACCGCCGGCUGCUACCUGACGUGAAGAGCAUUAACACACCGGCUGCAAAACUACGACCUUCUGUUUUCAAGUUGCUUCUGUUAAAGUUGGAUUAGCCUACAUGUAUGUCAUUUUAACGUUAUCUGGGUCAUAAUAAAUGGUG
ensembl:lncRNA